AUAGCAUGUCAGAAGGCAGACCCGGAGAACUGAAACAUCUUAGUACCCGGAGGAAGAGAAAGAAAAAUCGAUUCCCUGAGUAGCGGCGAGCGAAACGGGAAGAGCCCAAACCAACAAGCUUGCUUGUUGGGGUUGUAGGACACUCUAUACGGAGUUACAAAAGAACAUGUUAGACGAAUCAUCUGGAAAGAUGAAUCAAAGAAGGUAAUAAUCCUGUAGUCGAAAACAUAUUCUCUCUUGAGUGGAUCCUGAGUACGACGGAGCACGUGAAAUUCCGUCGGAAUCUGGGAGGACCAUCUCCUAAGGCUAAAUACUCUCUAGUGACCGAUAGUGAACCAGUACCGUGAGGGAAAGGUGAAAAGUACCCCGGAAGGGGAGUGAAAGAGAACUUGAAACCGUGUGCUUACAAGUAGUCAGAGCCCGUUAAUGGGUGAUGGCGUGCCUUUUGUAGAAUGAACCGGCGAGUUACGAUCUGAUGCAAGGUUAAGCAGCAAAUGUGGAGCCGCAGCGAAAGCGAGUCUGAAUAGGGCGUUGAGUAUUUGGUCGUAGACCCGAAACCAGGUGAUCUACCCUUGGUCAGGUUGAAGUUCAGGUAACACUGAAUGGAGGACCGAACCGACUUACGUUGAAAAGUGAGCGGAUGAACUGAGGGUAGCGGAGAAAUUCCAAUCGAACUUGGAGAUAGCUGGUUCUCUCCGAAAUAGCUUUAGGGCUAGCCUCAAGUGAUGAUUAUUGGAGGUAGAGCACUGUUUGGACGAGGGGCCCCUCUCGGGUUACCGAAUUCAGACAAACUCCGAAUGCCAAUUAAUUUAACUUGGGAGUCAGAACAUGGGUGAUAAGGUCCGUGUUCGAAAGGGAAACAGCCCAGACCACCAGCUAAGGUCCCAAAAUAUAUGUUAAGUGGAAAAGGAUGU
rnacentral:rRNA from 1 species